GGCGCUGUGGCCGAGCGGUUAAGGCGGUAGAUUAGAAAUCUACUAGGGUCUCCCUGCGUGUGUUCGAAUCACACCGGCGUCG